rnacentral:rRNA from 1 species
CCCUUAGACGUUCUGGGCCGCACGCGCGCUACACUGACCAGUGCAACAAGCAUCCGUCCUUGGCCGACAGGCCCGGGCAAUCUUUGAACGCUGGUCGUGAUGGGGAUAGACUUUUGCAAUUUUUGGUCUUCAACGAGGAAUUCCUAGUAAACGCAAGUCAUCAACUUGCAUUGAUUACGUCCCUGCCCUUUGUACACACCGCCCGUCGCACCUACCGAUUGAAUGGUCCGGUGAGGCCUCCGGAUUGGCGCGCACCUCGGUGCCGCCGAGAAGUUGGCUAAACCUUACCAUUUAGAGGAAGGUGAAGUCGUAACA